UUGAUCUGUACCUCAGUACUCCGUAUAUCACUUAGUGAAUUUGAUGUUUUGUGUAGUUUUAAUACAUGUAUAGUUUUGUUAUCUAUUUAAGUGAAUGACUGACCGAUGGAUUUUACAAACGAAAGUCGAUUCUGUAAAUCACAUUUUUGGGAUCCAGCUCAGUCAUGGAACACUCCAGAUCCAGAUAUCUCUCCAUGUUUCGAGCAGACGGCCCUGGUCUGGGGUCCUUGCCUAUUGUUGUGGAUCCUUGCCCCUUUUGAGGCCGUCGUCAUCCUGAACAGCAAAUGUCGAGAUUUGCCGUGGGGCUUCACAAAUACCACCAAAAUGUUGCUGAACCUGAUGCUGAUAGGUAUUAGUGCAGUAAACUUCGUCAUGUCAGUAGUCCAAUACUUGGAGAGUGAGGAGGUGUUUCCUGUUGCGCUCUGGACACCAGCAGUUCAAACAAUCACCUUUGUGUUGGCUGCAGUUAUCCUGGCGUGGGACAGAGUGCGAGGAGUUCACACCUCAGGAGGACUGUUUGUGUUCUGGCUGAUGCUCAGUGUGGCUGGGGUGUUCCAGUUCAGGACAGAACUGCGGCAAGCUGGGAACAAAGAAGAACCUCGCUACAAAUUUAUUCUCUACAUGGUAUCCUACCCUAUAGUGCUGCUGAUGAUGAUUCUGAAUGUAUUUGCUGACCCGCCGCAGAGAGUUACUGAUCGUCCAAAGACCGAGAAACCCUCUCCAGCAGAGAAUGCCUCAUUUGUGUCAUUAUGCUUCUUUAGCUGGUUUGAGCCUCUAAUCUGGAGAGGUUUCAAGAAACCUCUGACUCUGGAAGACCUGUGGAAUUUGAGAUACCAUGACACCUCAGCUUAUGUUGUCACAAGAUUUGAGAAACGGUGGAAUAAACUUUUAAAAAGAAGCAUUAGGUUUUCAGCAAGAGAUAAAAAGACUGAAUUGAAUGGACUGCUCAAGGACCAAGACUAUACACCAAAGAAACCAGUUUCAAUUAUUGGCACCCUGUUCAAAACAUACUGGAUAACCUUUGUUAACGCAGGAUUGCUGAAGUUUAUAUCAGAUGCUUUUGGACUUCUGAAUCCACUUCUUUUACAUUUAAUGAUAAAAUUUGUGGCGAGCAAGGAUUACAUGUGGAAGGGCAUCCUAUACGUGAUCGGUAUGCUCAUAGUUUCCCAGCUCCAGACGAUCUGCUUACAUCAUGCCAGUGACAUAAUGUACGGCCUUGGUGUGAACUGGAGGACAGCAAUCAUGUCUGCCAUCUACAAAAAGACUCUUCGCAUCUCUAGCUCUGCCAGGAAGAGCAGAUCCUUUGGUGAGAUAGUGAACCUGAUGGCGGUGGAUGCUCAAAGAUUUGUUGAUACAUCUUUAGCCUUGCACGCUACUUGGACCCUCCUCUUAACCAUCAUAGGCUGCAUGUACUUCCUGUGGAACAUACUUGGAGUGGCUACAUUGGCGGGCUUGGCUGUUUUGGUCAUUGUGAUUACAGUAAAUGUUGCAGUCUCAAGCAGAGUGCGGUCAUUGCACUUGAGACAAAUGAAACAUAAAGACGAGAGAGUCAAAUCUGUCAGCGAAGUUCUCAGUGGAAUCAAGGUUUUGAAGAUGUACGCCUGGGAGCAAAGUUUCAAAAAAUCUAUCCUGAAAAUUAGAGAAAAAGAGUUGUCACUGUUGAAAACUGCAGCUUUGUUGAAUGCAUGUGCUUCAUUUUUAUCUAACUGUACUUCGCUCUUGAUUUCUUUAGCAUCAUUUUGUGUAUUUGUCCUAAUUGAUGAACACAAUGUGAUGACAUCCGAGACUGCCUUUGUCGCCAUUGCUUUCUUCAACGUCAUGAGAGGUCCUCUGCAAUAUUUUCCAACAGUGGUGGAUUGUUAUAUUCAGUUUUUUGUGUCCGCCAAGAGAAUAAACAAGUUUAUGAACGCUGAUGAGUUGGAUUCUACAUCAGUUUCUCAUGACAUGAGCAGAAAUGAACCACUCACCAUAGAGGGUGGGACAUUCUCAUGGGGCUGUGACAAAGAUGACAAGCAAAUUCUCCACAACAUCACAUUAAAGAUACAGCCUGGACAGUUGGUAGCAGUGGUGGGACCCGUAGGGGCCGGCAAAUCCUCCCUCUUGUCUGCCUUUCUGGGAGAAAUGGUCAAGAACACUGGAUUUGUUAAUACCAAGGGAAAGAUAGCUUACGUUCCUCAACAACCUUGGAUACAAAAUGCGUCUGUGAGAGAGAACAUUUCAUUUGGUAACAGAUAUGAAGAGAAGGAAUACAAUAAGACAGUGGAGAACUGUGCUCUGUUACCAGACUUGAAGAUAUUACCUGGAGGAGAUGCCACUGAGAUAGGCGAAAAGGGUAUCAACCUGAGUGGAGGUCAGAAACAGAGAGUGAGUUUGGCUCGAGCAGUGUACAGUGACGCAGAUAUCUAUCUGAUGGACGACCCACUCAGUGCAGUUGACUCUCAUGUCGGUAGACACAUCUUUGACAAUAUCAUUGGCCCAAAAGGACAGCUACACAAGAAGACUCGCAUCCUGGUGACUCAUGGAAUAGCAUUUCUGCCCCAAGUAGAUAUGAUUGUGGUGAUGAAAGGAGGGGAGAUUGUGGAGAGAGGCACGUUUAAGGAACUGUUGGACGUGAAAGGAGAGUUCUCGGAUUUUCUGAUGCAGCACUUGGUAGAAACUGACCAACAUGAGCUAAUUCCAGAAAUUGAAGAAUUUGUUGAUGAAGAGGUAAUCCGGACAGUUCAAAGGCAAAUGAGUAAGAGUGAUUCUAUAAGGUCCAUUUCUUCCACUAAAAGUGAUUCCUCGCACAAGCUCUCCAUCACACAACAGAUCAAAGAAGGAACAGAAGUUUGUGUGGAGUCUAAGACCCAAAACCAAACUACUAACAGAGAUGCAGUUCUAUAUCAGCUGGAAGAGGUAGAAGAGAUGAAAUCAAAUCAGAGCAAGGAGAUGGAAAUAGUUGAAAAUGGAGAUACAACAAUGAUUGCAGAAACAGAUCUAAAGGACAAAGAUUCAGAAAUGGAAGCUUUGUUGAAGAAAUGUCAAGAUUCAGAGAGAAAGACUGAGAGAACGUAUACAAUUUCUGCAAUAGACAGAAAGUCUGCUACCCAACCAGAGGUGAAACAGAAAACCAAACUGAUCCAAACCGAGACGGCUGAAACUGGGAGAGUGAAGAGAAGAGUAUACCUGCACUACUGCAAGUGUAUGGGAGUAUGGCUAGUGGUGGGGACAUUCAGUCUCUCCCUACUCUCCCAGGCCGCUGCUAUACUUGCCAACAUCUGGCUGUCUCGCUGGACCUCGGACCUGUCAGUUGCUGUCAACGGUACUCAGGACCUGGACAAACGCAACUUUUACCUUCAGGUGUACUUUACCUUCGGGCUCGCACAGGUGGUUGCAGUAGUAGCGAGUACAUUAGUUUUGGCAAUUGCCACAGUCAUGGGUGCUCGGCACCUUCACGAGUCGAUACUGUCAAACAUCUUGCGUUGUCCAAUGAGCUUCUUUGACACAACGCCGAUGGGAAGGAUUGUCAACCGUCUCAGCAAAGACAUUGAUGUUGUCGACAACAUGCUUCCUAAGAACUUGAGAAUGGCUCAAGAUGCUCUUGUGACAGUUUUUGGAACUCUGGUGAUUAUAAUUUGGUCGACUCCAUUAUUUGUCAUAGCCUUUGUCCCAAUUGGAAUACUCUAUUACUAUUUGCAGAAAAUAUAUGUAACUACAUCUCGCCAAAUAAAGAGGAUCGAGUCAGUGGCAAGAUCUCCCAUCUACUCUCACUUCAGCGAGACUUUAUCAGGUGUUUCAUCAAUUCGUGCUUACAAGGUGGAAAAGCGUUUUAUAAAUACACUUCUAGAAAAGGUGGACACCAAUCAAGUCUGUCUCAUCCCCUCUUUAGUGGCCAACAGCUUUCUUUGCUGUACUAGGCAGAGAUUCACUGGAUCCAGGAAUCGUGGGGCUCUCAAUUAGCUAUGCUUUACAGGUUACUUCUAUAAUGAAUAAUGUUGUGAGAAUGGCUUCAGAAAUUGAGAAUAGCAUUGUCUCAGUGGAGAGGGUAAAGGAGUAUGCUGAACUUCCUCAGGAAGCUGCAUUGGUAGUGGAGCCUCGCCCCAAACCAGAAUGGCC
rnacentral:misc_RNA from 1 species